UUAAGUUAGGUUUGUGGUUGAAAGUCGAUGCUAGUCGCAGGCAAAGCGAUCCACGUAAGUUGAACAAAGUUUAAUGAGCAUGGUGCGGUUUAGAGGUAAGUCCUGCCGUGAAAAACGAGAGGGUAAGUAGUGAGGGGUUAAGUCCUAGUAGCAAAAGCUCCAGCAGGCGAGUGUGGGGUCAAAGACCAGGUCAACUAGUUUAA
rfam:Clostridium acidisoli DSM 12555 genome assembly, contig: EJ29DRAFT_scaffold00028.28